GUCAUUUCUCACUCUCUUGUCUCUUUCCAUCUUGUUUGACUGGCAAAGCCCCCAGCCUCAGGGGAACCCAACUUAUUACUGUGCCUGUUCUCUGGCAGCUGCCCACAGUUGGAGAAAUUCACAUAAGCAGGCUGACUGCCUUGUGACACAAUAUUAUCGCUGGCUCUCGAGGCUGCCCUCAGAUCCUGUGUUGUACAUAGACGGCUUUUCUCUUCCCUGAGACCUUCAAUCCUUCUCCUCUCCAUUCCUUCCCAUUUCCACCUCACUGAUGAAGUGGGACAACAGCCAUCAAUAGAAGUGAACUUUCCACCACCUUCAGUCUUCCACCACUGCACUAGCAAAGGGGCCAGCGUCUGCAUCCAUCUUCUCCCGUUCCUACAGUGGAAGAAGUAUCUGUCCCCAGCCAUGUGCUCUGCCCCCAGCUUUUCUCAGUUUCUCAAAGGCUGGCACACCAAGAUGUCAC
rnacentral:lncRNA from 1 species